CUGAGGAACAGGGCAUCUUUGACGGUGUCUUUAUAGCCAGGGAUGAAGACGUCUCAAGAUUUGUGGACUAUAUACACACCACAACCAAACAUGUCUCCGGAAGAGGUGUUUGUGGAGGACAGUGGUCGGCAGCCAGAGAGACCUCCCAAAAAUCAGCCGGCAAGCUGGAUGAGGAGGGACUAGAGCUUGCCGUCUGUCGACAUGGAGUGCUCCUCUGUGCUCUCAAUAUGUACAGGGGAGAAAUCUUUGCUUAUCCCCUGUACCUACAGAAAAAGCUGGCCAGUAGUAUGUUCUUUUGCAUGGAUGUGACCCGCAAAUAUUGGCCCUACCUCCAGAGAAUCACAAAAAGCUGUCCAGAGCUCCAGCAUCUUCUCGACAUGAAGCCCUUUCUCUCAGUGUUUCAUGCCAAAGCGCAUGACUUCAAAUGUGAAGUGAAAUGGAGUGGGGCAUAUCAAGAGGGA